GUAUUAGAGCUUGAUGCUCUAGUCCUUACUUGAUUUAACCAUCAAGAGCCAAAGAUCCAUGGCAGCCCAAUUUGGCAUAUCUUUAGCCGAGGGGCAAUCCACAAACUGACCUUCACUUUUCAAUAGAUCAAACUAUACCUAUUAAAAAGUUUGGAUGAGAAUUUUUAUUCAAAUACUUGACUAUAAUAUAUGGAGUAUCAUAGUAAAUAGACCCCACACACCACUAAAUUGAUUGAUGGCGCGUCUCUCCCUA
rnacentral:lncRNA from 1 species